CCUACGGGAGGCAGCAGUGGGGAAUAUUGCACAAUGGGGGAAACCCUGAUGCAGCAACGCCGCGUGAGUGAUGAAGGUUUUCGGAUCGUAAAGCUCUGUCUUUGGGGAAGAUAAUGACGGUACCCAAGGAGGAAGCCACGGCUAACUACGUGCCAGCAGCCGCGGUAAUACGUAGGUGGCGAGCGUUAUCCGGAUUUACUGGGCGUAAAGGGAGCGUAGGCGGAUGAUUAAGUGGGAUGUGAAAUACCCGGGCUCAACUUGGGUGCUGCAUUCCAAACUGGUUAUCUAGAGUGCAGGAGAGGAGAGUGGAAUUCCUAGUGUAGCGGUGAAAUGCGUAGAGAUUAGGAAGAACACCAGUGGCGAAGGCGACUCUCUGGACUGUAACUGACGCUGAGGCUCGAAAGCGUGGGGAGCAAACAGGAUUAAAUACCCUGGUAGUCC
rnacentral:rRNA from 1 species